rnacentral:rRNA from 1 species
UACGUAGGGUGCAAGCGUUGUCCGGAAUUAUUGGGCGUAAAGAGCUCGUAGGCGGUUUGUUACGUCGGCUGUGAAACCCUGGGGCUCAACCCCGGGCCUGCAGCCGAUACGGGCAGACUAGAAUUCGGUAGGGGAGACUGGAAUUCCUGGUGUAGCGGUGAAAUGCGCAGAUAUCAGGAGGAACACCGGUGGCGAAGGCGGGUCUCUGGGCCGAUAUUGACGCUGAGGAGCGAAAGCGUGGGGAGCGAACAGG